UGGGGAAUAUUGCACAAUGGAGGGAACUCUGAUGCAGCGACGCCGCGUGAGUGAUGAAGGAAUUCGUUUCGUAAAACUCUGUUCUAUGGGAAGAAAAGGACUGUACCAUAGGAGAAAGCUCCGGCUAAAUACGUGCCAGCAGCCGCGGUAAUACGUAUGGAGCGAGCGUUGUCCGGAAUUAUUGGGCGUAGAGGGUGCGCAGGCGGCUUUACAAGUUGGAUGUGAAAUAUUGUGGCUCAACCACAAACGUGCAUCCAAAACUGCAAAGCUUGAGUUGAGGAGAGGUAAGUAGAAUUCCUGGUGUAGCGGUGGAAUGCGUAGAUAUCAGGAAGAAUAACGGUGGAGAAGGCGACUUACUGGACUUAAACUGACGCUCAGGCACGAAAGCGUGGGGAGAAAACAGG
rnacentral:rRNA from 1 species